AUGUUUUCUUUCAUUAUUUUUAUGAUCCGGGAACCGCCCCACACAAGAGAGCUGGAAUCCUCUGGUCUUGAUCCUCGGGAGGAAACUGUGACAGGAGAGGGGCAGGCGUCCUCCCCGCUUUCCAAACGAGACCGGGCUCCGCUGGACUGCGGACUGGCCCAGAGUCCCCACCAGGGCCCGGCCCACCCCGUGCUGCUCCGAGGGUCUGUCGCACAGAACAGCGGGAAACGAGCAUUCAAUCAUCGUCGUCUUCAAGGGCAUAAACCCAAGGUGGGAGAGGGGAAAACAACCCCGCUUGGGCCCAACCUUAGAGGAGGCGCCCGGUGGGCAAGGCCGAGUGGGAGAGAAAGGCUGACUGGGACCUGGUCCCCCCAGGAUCUCGGGGCGCCGAUGCUGGGAAACACGGACCGUGGCCGCGAAUGCAGGAGUGCAGAGUGUGACUGCGGGGGAAGAGCUGUCCGUUGCAGGGCAUGAAGGAAGGCUUCCUGGAGGAGGUGCCCUUGGAGCUGGUCCGGAAGUUGGGGGGAGGGGUUCCGCAGGGUAUUCUGGAAUGAAGAAGGAGCUUAAGCCAGAGCAAGCGCCGACUCCUACUGAGAAAGGACUGUGGGAGAGAAACUGGGGGGCAAGAAAAUCCUGGGGAACAGGGGCAGUGAAGCAGCUCCUGGGCUCACACACGCGGCUCUCAGAGGGCGCACCUUUCACCCGCUCCUGGUUCAGACAAGAUUCAGACCCGCGGAUGCUCACCUGCCGGGGGAGCCAGUGGUGAGCCCGGCUCAGCAUUGCCUUUCUCCCCGGGACCCAGGACCCAGCCAUGACCAGGCCUGGAGGCCUCCACGGGCAGCGGGUGGUCAGCAGAGCGCUUCCUGUGGCCUCUCGAGUGGCCCGGGCCUCCUCAUGGUGGUGGCCGGAGCCAACAGCAGUGUCCCAGGAGGGCUGGGUGGGGAGUCCCUGGGCCUGGUGGCAGUGCAGCCGGACUCAGGGACGGAGCACAGACCACCUCUUCAUGUCAGAAGCUGCGAGUCCGGGAUUUUGGAAGACACCGAGGUUGCACGCCCGGGCUGCACGCACGCGGCUCUCAGGUGUUGCUGAGUCUCUGCGCGCUGCUGUCAGUGUGGACAGGGUGCCUUGUGUCUCCUGGCCUUUGCUGACCGUGUGAACACAUACAGGUGAGGCUGGGCUGCUCCUUUGGCGCCGCAAGGAUGGCAGAGGCUGCAGGACUGGGAGUGACUGCUAUUCCGGAUGUUGCUGCAGAAGGUGGGGGAUGGGGCACAGGUGAGCCCCCAGGAGCGGGGCUCUGGGAAGCACCCUGAUCAGAGCAGGAGGCCCAAGUCCUGCCUGCUGCUGGCGGUGGGCACAUCCUGGAGCCCUGGAGGCCUGGGGCCCUCGUCAGCUCUAAGAUGCUCAGUGUUUCCUGAGCGACGCGGGUCCUUGGCCCCAGAGGUACCCACGUGCUCGCGUUUGGGUCUGUUAGACCCUGGGGGCGUCACGAAGCGGGGUCCUGGGCACAGGCGGGGAAACCGAGGCUCUCCUGGCCCCUUGCUGGGGCGCCACCCUGAGGCGGGAGGAGGGUGUUGGGAGAGUCCCCCAGGCACCAGACCCGGCGUGGGGUGAACAGACAUCAACCCGGCAACCUCACUGGACCCCUGAGCCGGAGGAAGCUGCGUCCCAGUGAAUUGAUUCACAGGGAGGAAGAGGCGUGUGCGGGGCACUCACCUCCUCCCGCCUCGCACGCGCCCUCCCGGCCCCAGAGCAGCGGAUCCACAGCCCAGAGACGUGUGGCAGGAUGGGGAGGGCGUUUCUCCCUGGGGCGGUGGCACAGGGCAGGUAAGUGCGCCCCCCACCACCUUAGGGCUUUCCGCCAGAACCUGUGACCGUGGCUGCCUCAGGACUGGCUCUACAUCAGGGCCGUGGCGGGUGGACGGCUGUGCCCUGCUUUUUCUCUCUUCUUCCCCAAGAUAUGUUUGGCAACUGCGUCUGAGGCCUCCAGCUGCACCUGGGCACAGCGUGUCCCCGUGGACACCAGAGGUUGCCAGAUAAGCAUGGGGUGAACUCGGAUCCGCACCAGCUGACACGAAACCUCCCUUGACACGGCCAAGUUACGUCACCCGGACCAGCAGGUGCCCCCAGACAGCACGGGGCCUGGGAGGGACUCCGCCUCUGCUGGCACCUCCGCUCCGUGGCCCUGCUUUCCUGCUUCCCCGAGGUUCCCUGCAAGAUUCUGCUGGAAGAGGCAGUUCUAAGAGGGGAGGGGUGCAAACCACCCGGCUGCCACCCAGUCACACUGCUGGACGGGAGAGGACGCGGCUCAGAGAGGGGACAGCAUUGCUCAGGGUCCCCGCCCGUCUGCACAGACCCAAGAGGCACCCCCCACCCCAGCUCAACUCCUUCCAUCUGACCGACUCUGACCUGGCUGCGGGCACCCUGGCUGCGGGCAGACUGCACCUGGCAGAGUUGUCUCCCAGAGAGACCAGCAGGGUGUCCAUUGUCCGUAGGGGCCCCAUCCUUCCCCCAGGCCCCCUGUCCAGUCUUUCCAGAACCCAGGACUCUGGGUUCCUGAUUCGCUCCUCCCCCAGGUGCCAAGCUGGGACAGUGGUAACAGCCGCGCUCCCAGCACGGAGCCUGACUUCCCGAAUCUCUGAGCGAGCGGCUCAGACACACCUGUGUGAGCUCCCGGUCCCCUUUCCCGGCCUUGGGGGAGGGGGGUCCUCAAACGAGUGGGAGGAAG
rnacentral:lncRNA from 1 species